rnacentral:rRNA from 1 species
AUUGAACGCUGGCGGCAGGCCUAACACAUGCAAGUCGAGCGAAGCGGCGGUUGGGUGAGUAACGCGUGGGUAACCUGCCCUUAAGUCUGGGAUACCCUUUGGAAACAGAUGCUAAUACCGGAUACUAAAGGAUGGACCUGCGAUGCAUUAGCUAGUUGGUAAGGUAACGGCUUACCAAGGCGAUGAUGCAUAGCCGAGUUGGGAGACGGAUCGGCCACAUUGGGACUGAGACACGGCCCAAACUCCUACGGGAGGCAGCAGUAGGGAAUCUUCCACAAUGGACGAAAGUCUGAUGGAGCAACGCCGCGUGAGUGAAGAAGGUUUUCGGAUCGGAAAGCUCUGUUGUUGGUGAAGCGGUAAUCAACCAGAAAGGCACGGCUAACUACGUGCCAGCAGCCGCGGUAAUAC